rnacentral:rRNA from 1 species
AUUGAACGCUAGCGGCAUGCUUAACACAUGCAAGUCGAACGGUAACAGCAGAGCUUGCUCUGGCUGACGAGUGGCGGACGGGGGAGUUCCCACGGGUGCGGAACACGUGGGAACAUACCCUUUGGUAAGGAAUAAUAUCUGGAAACGGAUACUAAUACCUUAUAAUGACUUCGGUCCAAAGAUUUAUCGCCAAAGGAUUGGCCCGCGCAUGAUUAGUUUGUUGGUGAGGUAAUGGCUCACCAAGACUACGAUCAUUAGCUGGUCUGAGAGGACGAUCAGCCACACUGGAACUGAGACACGGUCCAGACUCCUACGGGAGGCAGCAGUGAGGAAUAUUGCACAAUGGGGGAAACCCUGAUGCAGCCAUGCCGCGUGUAUGAAGAAGGCCUUAGGGUUGUAAAGUACUUUCAAUAGUGAAGAUUAUGACGAUUUUCAAUAGUGAAGAUUAUGACGGUAGCUAUAGAAGAAGCCCCGGCUAAAUUCGUGCCAGCAGCCGCGGUAAUACGAAUGGUGCGAGCGUUAAUCGGAAUUACUGGGCGUAAAGCGCGCGUAGGCGGCCUGAUAAGUUGGAUGUGAAAGCCCCGGGCUCAACCUGGGAACUGCAUUCAAAACUGUCUCACUAGAGUACGAUAGAGGGGGGUAGAAUUUCAGGUGUAGCGGUGAAAUGCGUAGAGAUCUGAAGGAAUACCAGUGGCGAAGGCGGCCCACUGGACUGAUACUGACGCUGAGGUGCGAAAGCGUGGGGAGCAAACAGGAUUAGAUACCCUGGUAGUCCACGCCGUAAACGAUGUCUACUAGCCGUUGGGGAGCUUGCCUCCUUAGUGGCGCAGCUAACGCAAUAAGUAGACCGCCUGGGGAGUACGGCCGCAAGGUUAAAACUCAAAUGAAUUGACGGGGGCCCGCACAAGCGGUGGAGCAUGUGGUUUAAUUCGAUGCAACGCGAAGAACCUUACCUGGUCUUGACAUCCUACGAACUUUCCAGAGAUGGAUUGGUGCCUUCGGGAACGUAGUGACAGGUGCUGCAUGGCUGUCGUCAGCUCGUGUUGUGAAAUGUUGGGUUAAGUCCCGUAACGAGCGCAACCCUUCUCCUUAUUUGCCAGCACGUAAUGGUGGGAACUCUAGGGAGCCUGCCGGUGACAAACCGGAGGAAGGUGGGGACGACGUCACGUCAUCAUGGCCCUUACGUCCAGGGCUACACACGUGCUACAAUGGACGGUACAGAGGGUUGCCAAGCCGCGAGGUGGAGCUAAUCCCUUAAAACCGUUCGUAGUCCGGAUUGGAGUCUUCAACUCGACUCCAUG